AUGCAAGUCGAACGGCAGGCACGGGGCAACCUGGUGGCGAGUGGCGAACGGGUGAGUAAUGCAUCGGAACGUGCCAUUGAGUGGGGAUAACGUAGCGAAAGUUGCGCUAAUACCGCAUAUUCUGUGAGCAGGAAAGCAGGGGACCGCAAGGCCUUGCGCUCUUUGAGCGGCCGAUGUCAGAUUAGCUAGUUGGUGAGGUAACGGCUUACCAAGGCGACGAUCUGUAGCGGGUCUGAGAGGAUGAUCCGCCACACUGGAACUGAGACACGGUCCAGACUCCUACGGGAGGCAGCAGUGGGGAAUUUUGGACAAUGGGCGCAAGCCUGAUCCAGCCAUGCCGCGUGAGUGAAGAAGGCCUUCGGGUUGUAAAGCUCUUUCGGCCGGGAAGAAAUCGCAUGGGUUAAUACCCUGUGUGGAUGACGGUACCGGAAUAAGAAGCACCGGCUAACUACGUG
rnacentral:rRNA from 1 species